rnacentral:rRNA from 1 species
AUUGAACGCUGGCGGCAGGCCUAACACAUGCAAGUCGAGCGGAUGAAGGGAGCUUGCUCCUGGAUUCAGCGGCGGACGGGUGAGUAAUGCCUGGGAAUCUGCCUGGUAGUGGGGGAUAACGUCCGGAAACGGGCGCUAAUACCGCAUACGUCCUGAGGGAGAAAGUGGGGGAUCUUCGGACCUCACGCUAUCAGAUGAGCCUAGGUCGGAUUAGCUAGUUGGUGGGGUAAAGGCCUACCAAGGCGACGAUCCGUAACUGGUCUGAGAGGAUGAUCAGUCGCACUGGAACUGAGACACGGUCCAGACUCCUACGGGAGGCAGCAGUGGGGAAUAUUGGACAAUGGGCGAAAGCCUGAUCCAGCCAUGCCGCGUGUGUGAAGAAGGUCUUCGGAUUGUAAAGCACUUUAAGUUGGGAGGAAGGGCAGUAAGUUAAUACCUUGCUGUUUUGACGUUACCAACAGAAUAAGCACCGGCUAACUUCGUG